UACGGAGGGUGCAAGCGUUGUCCGGAAUCACUGGGCGUAAAGGGCGCGUAGGCGGCUCAUGAAGGCUGUGGUGAAAGUCCGGGGCUCAACCUCGGAUCGGCCGUGGCGACUCGUGGGCUGGAGCACUGUAGAGGCGGGUGGAAUUCCGGGUGUAGCGGUGGAAUGCGUAGAGAUCCGGAAGAACACCAGUGGCGAAGGCGGCCCGCUGGGCAGUGGCUGACGCUGAGGCUCGAAAGCGUGGGGAGCAAACAGG
rnacentral:rRNA from 1 species